rnacentral:rRNA from 1 species
UACGUAGGGUGCAAGCGUUGUCCGGAAUUAUUGGGCGUAAAGAGCUCGUAGGCGGUCUGUCGCGUCUGCUGUGAAAACUCAGGGCUUAACCCUGAGCUUGCAGUGGGUACGGGCAGACUAGAGUGCGGGUAGGGGGAGACUGGAAUUCCUGGUGUAGCGGUGAAAUGCGCAGAUAUCAGGAGGAACACCGGUGGCGAAGGCAGGUCUCUGGGCCAUAACUGACGCUGGAGAAG